GAUGAACGCUGGCGGCGUGCCUAAUACAUGCAAGUCGAGCGAACGGACGAGAAGCUUGCUUCUCUGAUGUUAGCGGCGGACGGGUGAGUAACACGUGGAUAACCUACCUAUAAGACUGGGAUAACUUCGGGAAACCGGAGCUAAUACCGGAUAAUAUUUUGAACCGCAUGGUUCAAAAGUGAAAGACGGUCUUGCUGUCACUUAUAGAUGGAUCCGCGCUGCAUUAGCUAGUUGGUAAGGUAACGGCUUACCAAGGCAACGAUGCAUAGCCGACCUGAGAGGGUGAUCGGCCACACUGGAACUGAGACACGGUCCAGACUCCUACGGGAGGCAGCAGUAGGGAAUCUUCCGCAAGGGGCGAAAGCCUGACGGAGCAACGCCGCGUGAGUGAUGAAGGUCUUCGGAUCGGAAAACUCUGUUAUUAGGGAAGAACAUAUGUGUAAGUAACUGUGCACAUCUUGACGGUACCUAAUCAGAAAGCCACGGCUAACUACGUG
rnacentral:rRNA from 1 species